AACGCGAAGAACCUUACCAAGCCUUGACAUCCCCCUGACCGGCCAGUAACGUGGCCUUUCCUACGGGACAGGGGAGACAGGUGGUGCAUGGUUGUCGUCAGCUCGUGUCGUGAGAUGUUGGGUUAAGUCCCGCAACGAGCGCAACCCCUAUGUUCAGUAGCCAGCAGUUAAAGCUGGGCACUCUGGAGAGACUGCCAGGGACAACCUGGAGGAAGGCGGGGAUGACGUCAAAUCAUCAUGCCCCUUAUGGCUUGGGCUACACACGUGCUACAAUGGCGUAAACAAAGGGAAGCAGCCCUGUGAAGGUGAGCGAAUCCCAAAAAUAACGUCCCAGUUCGGAUUGUAGUCUGCAACCCGACUACAUGAAGCUGGAAUCGCUAGUAAUCGCGAAUCAGAAUGUCGCGGUGAAUACGUUCCCGGGUCUUGUACACACCG
rnacentral:rRNA from 1 species